AGUUCGAUCCUGGCUCAGAUUGAACGCUGGCGGGAUGCUUUACAUGCAGUCGAACGGCAGCACGGACUUCGGUCUGGUGGCAGUGGCGAGCGGGUGAGUAAUGUAUCGGAACGUGCCUAGUAGCGGGGGAUAACUACGCGAAAGCGUAGCUAAUACCGCAUACGCCCUUCGGGGAAAAGCAGGGGGCCUUCGGGCCUCGCACUAUUAAACGGCCGAUAUCGGAUUAGCUAGUUGGUGGGGUAACGGCUCACCAAGGCGACGAUCGUAGCUGGUUUGAAGGACGACCAGCCACACUGGGACUGAGACACGGCCCAGACUCCUACGGGAGGCAGCAGUGGGAAUUUUGGACAAUGGGGGAAACCUGAUCCAGCCAUCCCGCGUGUGCGAUGAAGGCCGCUGGGUUGUAAAGCACUUUUGGCAGGAAAGAAGCAGCCGCAGGAUAAUACCCCGUGCAACUGACGAAAACACCUGCAGAAUAAGCACCGGCUAACUACGUGCCAGCAGCCGCGGUAAUACGUAGGGUGCAAGCGUUAAUCGGAAUUACUGGGCGUAAAGCGUGCAGGCGGUUCGGAAAGAAGAUGUGAAAUCCCAGAGCUUAACUUUGAACUGUUUUAACUACCGAGCUAAGUGUGUCAGGAGGUGAAUUCCGCGUGUAGCAGUGAAAUGCGUGAUCUGGAAGGAACACCGAUGGCGGGCAGCCUCCUGGGAUAACACUGGCCUCCAUGCACGGCUAUUCAGGAGCAAGCAGUUGACCCGUUCGCCUAAACAGUGUCAACUAGCUGUUGGGGCCUUCCGGGCCUUGGUAGCUGUAUAACGCGUGAAGUUGACCGCCUGGGGAAAUACGGUCGCAAGAUUAAAACUCCGAGAGGAAUUGGCUGCGGACCCGCACAAGCGGUGGAUGAUGUGGAUUAAUUCCGAUGCAACGCGAAAACCUUACCUACCCGCCGACAUGUCUGGAAUCCCGAAGAGAUUUGCGGGAACGCCACCAAGACUGAACCCUGAUUAACACAUGGCUGUCGUCAGCUCGUGUCGUGAGAUGUUGGGUUAAGUCCCGCAACGAGCGCAGCCCUUGUCAUUAGUUACUGAAAGGCACUCUAAUGAGACUGCCGGUGACAAACCGGAGGAAAGGUGAGAUGACGUCCCAGACCUCAUGGCCCUUAUGGGUAGGGCUUCACACGUCAUACAAUGGUCGGGACAGAGGGUCGCCAACCCCGCGAAAGGGGAGCCAAUCCCAGAAACCCGAUCGUAGUCCGGAUCGCAGUCUGCAACUCGACUGCGUGAGGCGAAUCGCUAGUAAUCGCCCGGAUCAGCAUGUCGCGGUGAAUACGUACCCAGAGGAUUCUUAUGCACCGCCGUCUACACCAUGGGAGUGGGUUUUACCAGAAGUAGUUAAUACAACGCCGUAAGGAGGGCGAUUACCACGGUAGGAUUCAUGACUGGGCUUGAAGUCAUAUGGUAA
rnacentral:rRNA from 1 species